GACGAACGCUGGCGGCGUGCUUAACACAUGCAAGUCGAACGGAAAGGCCCUGCUUUUGUGGGGUGCUCGAGUGGCGAACGGGUGAGUAACACGUGAGUAACCUGCCCUUGACUUUGGGAUAACUUCAGGAAACUGGGGCUAAUACCGGAUAGGAGCUCCUGCUGCAUGGUGGGGGUUGGAAAGUUUCGGCGGUUGGGGAUGGACUCGCGGCUUAUCAGCUUGUUGGUGGGGUAGUGGCUUACCAAGGCUUUGACGGGUAGCCGGCCUGAGAGGGUGACCGGCCACAUUGGGACUGAGAUACGGCCCAGACUCCUACGGGAGGCAGCAGUGGGGAAUAUUGCACAAUGGGCGGAAGCCUGAUGCAGCAACGCCGCGUGCGGGAUGACGGCCUUCGGGUAAAACCGCUUUCGCCUGUGACGAAGCGUGAGUGACGGUAAUGGGUAAAGAAGCACCGGCUAACUACGU
rnacentral:rRNA from 1 species